rnacentral:rRNA from 1 species
GGAGAUUUUGGAAAUGUAGGGGGGCUAUCAUGCAGUCGAGCGAACAGAUAAGGAGCUUGCUCCUUUGACGUUAGCGGCGGACGGGUGAGUAACACGUGGGUAACCUACCUAUAAGACUGGGAUAACUUCGGGAAACCGGAGCUAAUACCGGAUAACAUUUGGAACCGCAUGGUUCUAAAGUGAAAGAUGGUUUUGCUAUCACUUAUAGAUGGACCCGCGCCGUAUUAGCUAGUUGGUAAGGUAACGGCUUACCAAGGCAACGAUACGUAGCCGACCUGAGAGGGUGAUCGGCCACACUGGAACUGAGACACGGUCCAGACUCCUACGGGAGGCAGCAGUAGGGAAUCUUCCGCAAUGGGCGAAAGCCUGACGGAGCAACGCCGCGUGAGUGAUGAAGGGUUUCGGCUCGUAAAACUCUGUUAUUAGGGAAGAACAAAUGUGUAAGUAACUGUGCACAUCUUGACGGUACCUAAUCAGAAAGCCACGGCUAACUACGUGCCAGCAGCCGCGGUAAUACGUAGGUGGCAAGCGUUAUCCGGAAUUAUUGGGCGUAAAGCGCGCGUAGGCGGUUUCUUAAGUCUGAUGUGAAAGCCCACGGCUCAACCGUGGAGGGUCAUUGGAAACUGGGAAACUUGAGUGCAGAAGAGGAAAGUGGAAUUCCAUGUGUAGCGGUGAAAUGCGCAGAGAUAUGGAGGAACACCAGUGGCGAAGGCGACUUUCUGGUCUGUAACUGACGCUGAUGUGCGAAAGCGUGGGGAUCAAACAGGAUUAGAUACCCUGGUAGUCCACGCCGUAAACGAUGAGUGCUAAGUGUUAGGGGGUUUCCGCCCCUUAGUGCUGCAGCUAACGCAUUAAGCACUCCGCCUGGGGAGUACGACCGCAAGGUUGAAACUCAAAGGAAUUGACGGGGACCCGCACAAGCGGUGGAGCAUGUGGUUUAAUUCGAAGCAACGCGAAGAACCUUACCAAAUCUUGACAUCCUUUGAAAACUCUAGAGAUAGAGCCUUCCCCUUCGGGGGACAAAGUGACAGGUGGUGCAUGGUUGUCGUCAGCUCGUGUCGUGAGAUGUUGGGUUAAGUCCCGCAACGAGCGCAACCCUUAAGCUUAGUUGCCAUCAUUAAGUUGGGCACUCUAGGUUGACUGCCGGUGACAAACCGGAGGAAGGUGGGGAUGACGUCAAAUCAUCAUGCCCCUUAUGAUUUGGGCUACACACGUGCUACAAUGGACAAUACAAAGGGCAGCUAAACCGCGAGGUCAUGCAAAUCCCAUAAAGUUGUUCUCAGUUCGGAUUGUAGUCUGCAACUCGACUACAUGAAGCUGGAAUCGCUAGUAAUCGUAGAUCAGCAUGCUACGGUGAAUACGUUCCCGGGUCUUGUACACACCGCCCGUCACACCACGAGAGUUUGUAACACCCGAAGCCGGUGGAGUAACCAUUUAUGGAGCUAGCCGUCGAAGGGACAUAAUUUCUAAAAAAUUUGCU